AUGUGCAAAUACUGAACACUAAUAACAUUUCAUUUGCAUCUGUCUUCAUUGUUUUUGUGCGAUGUUACAUGAAACGAAAAGAUGAUUUUCAGCUCUAAACUCAAAAACAAGUAGCUUGGACAAUCUAUUAGUUAAACAACUUUUUGGUGAUGAUUUGAUGAUUAGGAGCAAGGGAUUACUGAUACAGAAUGAGAACACUUGCGACUUCGUGUCCAGAGCCAGAACGACCCAAAGUUGAAUAUUGGACCUUUCAAAAUUUCUUAGGCGAUUGGAAGGUUUUAGGUCGAAGCGAAGAAACUAUUCCAAAAACUGUUUACAAUACCAUUGAAAUUUUCCACCUUUAUCCUGGAAAAGUUGCCUUUGUCGAGAAGGGUACUAAUUGAGACAGAGAUGUAAGAUCACAAUGGGACAUGGGUAAAUCAUUUUAUGAUCGACAUGAAAAUAAAUACGAUUCUUAUUCAUUCAACUUCACAACCUCGGAUGGUCAUCCAGGACAAUUUGGAUGCCUUAUUAUGGUCGUCCCAAGUAUGCUGAAGCCGUCUUAGCAAGUUGUGUUAAAAUUGAUGAAUCAACUGUUGACGUCAAAGCAUGGUUCGUUUCAAUGGCUACAGCAACUUCAGCAUCAGAUGAAGUUAAAAGUCUUAUUAAAUCGUUGACUGGACAAGAGUACCGCACCUUCUGUUGGGGAAACUUCUGUUAAUUCAAUCGUACAGAAUACAGAAUGAAAUUCAGCAAUUAAACUCUUCACAUAUUCAUUGUAAAACUACUUGAAUAAGAUAUUAAAUCAU